UACGUAGGGUGCAAGCGUUAAUCGGAAUUACUGGGCGUAAAGCGUGCGCAGGCGGUUUUGUAAGUCUGACGUGAAAUCCCCGGGCUUAACCUGGGAAUGGCGAUGGAGACUGCGAGGCUAGAGUUUGGCAGAGGGGGGUAGAAUUCCACGUGUAGCAGUGAAAUGCGUAGAGAUGUGGAGGAACACCGAUGGCGAAGGCAGCCCCCUGGGUCAAAACUGACGCUCAUGCACGAAAGCGUGGGGAGCAAACAGG
rnacentral:rRNA from 1 species